UACGUAGGGUGCAAGCGUUAAUCGGAAUACUGGGCGUAAAGCGUGCGCAGGCGGUGAUGUAAGACAGUUGUGAAAUCCCCGGGCUUAACCUGGGAACUGCAUUGGUGACUGGCAGGCUUUGAGUGUGGCAGAGGGAGGUAGAAUUCCACGUGUAGCAGUGAAAUGCGUAGAGAUGUGGAGGAAUACCGAUGGCGAAGGCAGCCUCCUGGGCCAACACUGACGCUCAUGCACGAAAGCGUGGGGAGCAAACAGG
rnacentral:rRNA from 1 species